UAGUGGGCUUUGUCGAAGACCGAUCUACGCUCAUAACAAUGUGUUUUUUGGUUCAAAACGAGGCCCAAAGCAAAUUUUGAUACGACGGUCUCUGAUCUGGCAUUCCACAGCCAUUUUAGUAACUUUUACGUGCAAUUACAAAC
rnacentral:snoRNA from 12 species